GCAGAUAAGCAUAUCAAUAAGCGGAGGAAAAGAAACCAACAGGGAUUGCCCUAGUAACGGCGAGUGAAGCGGCAACAGCUCAAAUUUGAAAUCUGGCUCUUUUAGAGUCCGAGUUGUAAUUUGCAGAGGGCGCUUUGGCUUUGGCAGCGGUCCAAGUUCCUUGGAACAGGACGUCACAGAGGGUGAGAAUCCCGUACGUGGUCGCUAGCUAUUGCCGUGUAAAGCCCCUUCGACGAGUCGAGUUGUUUGGGAAUGCAGCUCUAAAUGGGAGGUAAAUUUCUUCUAAAGCUAAAUACUGGCCAGAGACCGAUAGCGCACAAGUAGAGUGAUCGAAAGAUGAAAAGCACUUUGGAAAGAGAGUCAAACAGCACGUGAAAUUGUUGAAAGGGAAGCGCUUGCAGCCAGACUUGCUUGCAGUUGCUCACCCGGGCCUCUGUGCCCGGUGCAUUCUUCUGCAGGCAGGCCAGCAUCAGUUUGGGCGGUGGGAUAAAGGUCUCUGUCACGUACCUCUCUUCGGGGAGGCCUUAUAGGGGAGACGACAUACCACCAGCCUGGACUGAGGUCCGCGCAUUUAUGCUAGGAUGCUGGCGUAAUGGCUGUAAGCGGCCCGUCUUGAAACACGGACCAAGGAGUCUAACAUCUAUGCGAGUGUUUGGGUGUCAAGCCCGAACGCGUAAUGAAAGUGAACGGAGGUGGGAACCCGCAAGGGUGCACCAUCGACCGAUCCUGAUGUCUUCGGAAGGAUUUGAGUAAGAGCAUGGCUGUUGGGACCCGAAAGAUGGUGAACUAUGCUUGAAUAGGGUGAAGCCAGAGGAAACUCUGGUGGAGGCUCGCAGCGGUUCUGACGUGCAAAUCGAUCGUCAAAUUUGGGCAUAGGGGCGAAAGACUAAUCGAACUUGCUAGCGGA
rnacentral:rRNA from 1 species